rnacentral:SRP_RNA from 1 species
UCGUGCUAGAUGGGGAGCUAGCGGUGCCCUGUAACCCGAAAACCGCUUAUGCGGGAUUGAAGUCCCUCUUGGAGGAUUGCAGCGCUGCCGUUGAUUGCUGACCAGGGCGGCGGAUUGGACCCUGCGCAACAGACGCUUGUGAACCCCGUCAGGUCCGGAAGGAAGCAGCGGUAAACAAGGCGGUCUGUGUCGCGGCGGAUUCUAAUCCAUCAACCCUCUGGACACUGUCCUCGGUUGUGGCGGAUUCGAAGGAGGGUGCACGG